rnacentral:rRNA from 1 species
UACGAAGGGGGCUAGCGUUGUUCGGAAUUACUGGGCGUAAAGCGCGCGCAGGCGGUUCUUCAAGUCAGAGGUGAAAGCCCAGGGCUCAACCCUGGAAUGGCCUUUGAGACUAGAGAACUAGGGUACGGGAGAGGUGAGUGGAAUUCCGAGUGUAGAGGUGAAAUUCGUAGAUAUUCGGAAGAACACCAGUGGCGAAGGCGGCUCACUGGACUGGUAUUGACGCUGAGGUGCGAAAGCGUGGGGAGCAAACAGG